CCAUCACCCCACGCCGCUUGGGUGACUUAAGCUUAUCCUCAGGAGCGGGACUCCGCAGGUGUGAAAGAACAUGGCCCGGGACACUGCGCAUGUGCCGCCUCAGGUCGGUGCGCGCUGAGCUUCAGUUCGCAGUCUAGGGCGAGCGCGUCUGCUGAGGGGAGCUGACUCCUUUAAUCUUAGCUGCAGAAAUCACCCAAGAUGCUGCAGCCUCUCUCUGGCUUGCUUUGAGCCGCCUGCGGGCGAUACCCGAUUAACUGAUGAGUGCUCUGCUCAUCUUAUCGCUUCCAUCUCUUGGCGCGCCUCCAUCAUGCCUAGCCCGUCUGACUGCUGGAUGAAUUCACAAAUCACUGUUGCCAGCAAGCUUUCUUUUGCAGGCCGUCUUCCUAACGUGCUUCCUAACGUGUGGGCUGAGGAGAGCCACCGCCAGGCUUUCUAGAGUCACAGUUCCAAGUGUCCAAGCCCAGGGCCCUCCCCAGGCUCUGGGAGCAUCUGUCUGGACCUCUCCCCACUUCGGGUGGCUUGUCUUCCUUGGCUUGGAGAAACAUCUCUGCCAUCGUUGCCUCCUUCAGCUCUGCAUAUCUGCCAUGUUGUCUUCCAGUGGGGACACCAGUCACUGAGUGAUGACUUCACCUGGUGGUACUUACCUUGCUCCGUGUGGAGAGAGAGCGCCCGCUUUUAAGUUCCCAGGGAAAGCCCCCUGCUUAUGGUAUGGAGACGCAGCUGUGGGUGACAGAGGCCCAGCUCCCACCAGUUUCAGCAAAAGAAGCUUGGAGAGUUCUGAGGAGGCCUGGCUUGGGGUGCCUGUGGAUUCAGGCAUGCAAAUGAUGGCCUAAAGCUGGCACACCUCCCUGUUUCCAGUACUCCGAUGCUUUUCCAGACACUCUCAGCAGCUCUACUGGGUGGGUCUGAGAUGGCUCCCAGAAGGCUGGUCAAGGGGAUCCAUCCAACUAGGCUUCCCCUGGGAAGCAGGCUUCUUUCUCAAUGGCGUUGACAAUUGUCUUAGGGGAGAUGCUUGUGCAUAGGGUCAUAUGCUGGGCAGUUAGCUUCCCCAAAGUGAAACUUGAGUGCCAAUGAGACUUGAGGGGAAAGUGGGUGGAGCUAGGCUGCAUAGGUCCCACUGGGGAAGGGAAGCUUCUUGGGUCAACUGUAGUGUUGAGAGAACAUAGGCCAUUGGGUUUCAUCUUCUAUACUGUAGGGUCCUCCCUGGCCAGAGAGGCUAAAGGAGAGGGUGGUCAGAGGCUGUGGGGAGGGGGCAAGGUGCUCUUUGAUGUCCUGUGUCAGAUUUAAGACACCCCAGGUAUCUCAACACCACAAACCCUCCCACAGGGAUGGUGGCUUAGACUCUGAGCAGACCUGACUGGCAUCCUGAGCUCACCAAGGGUCUAAUACCAUAACAGGAAGGAUCUACGUCAUCCUCACACAUCACUGCCCUUUUCCAUCCUGGACCUUGGUUUCCUGUUCCUUUUUGAGAGGAGACUUUGAUAGGCUCCAAAGAUGGUCAGGAUGGGUCAUGUCCCCAUUUCACAUCCCCUGGCUCCUGACUUUGGAUGUCUCCCUUGGUCCAGCCCAGCCAGAGGCCCCUGAAGGCAUGGUGGCCGGUCCAAUGCUCCCCUUGUUUCCUCCGUAUCCUCAACAGACCCUUGUUUGGUAAGCUGCCGUGUGAAGCUCUGCUCUGAGCAAGGCGGGGAGGGCUCGGAGCUCUCCCGGCCACGCACUGAAUAAACAAGCCUGGUGCCAGCUCACUGCCAGGCGGUGAAGGACACAGAGAGGCCAAGACGAUGGAGAAUCAGAGCCAUCUCUGUCUGGAAUCCUGACUCGGUUCUUGCCAGCUGUGAGGCACACUUGGGUCAAGACUCCCCUGCCCCUGUGCCUCAGUUUCCUCCCCUGUAAAAUAAGAUGGGAGUCCAAUCUUCCAGAAUCACAGUGGGGUUCAGAUAGAGCACCCUGGUGCUUUCCAACAGGCUUGGGGGCACAGACACAGCCUUAAGUUCUCGCUGGCCUUUCCUGCUGCUUGUCACACAGAUGUUUGUUCAUGUUCCGUUAUAAAACUCCUAUACAUGUAACGUGUAAAUCCUUGGGCUAGAGAUGCCCCUCAGUUGGUAGAGUGCUGGCCAGGCAUGCAUCAUGUCCCAGGUCAACUUUAGCACUACAAGAACCCAGCAUGGUGGUGCCUGUUCGUCCUUCUAACCCUUGUGAGGAGGCGGCAGGAGAGUCAGGGAUCGAGGUCAUCCUCUGUCACAUAGUGAGCUAGAGAUUACUAUCCUGGACUCCAUGAGACCGUAUCUCACAACAGAAACAGAGGAAAUUCCCUGCUCCCUUCCUCGCACGUCCCUUCUGCUCCUGUGAGAUGUGUUUGUCAGGUGAGUGAGGUGACAGGUGAUAAGACACAGGGCCCGUCCUGCCCUGGUCCUCUCUAGUCCCCAUCUUCUGUCUUUCCCCUCGUCCCCUGUUCCUGGGAAGUGGCCGAUUUCCUUGCUGCCCUCACGCCCUUUCGCAUGGACCCCACAGCAUUCAUUUGUUCCCAGCCAGCCCCAUCCCCACCUACCAUCUCUCCCGGACUCUCUUCUCUACCUUUAAGAGUCAGGUAUAUGAACCAGUGUCCAAAGGGUCAGAGCACGGUCACCCUUGCCUGACUUGCCCUGGCCUCUCAGGAGCCUCUGGUUCUCUUUCCUGUAGCCAGAAUGGCGGCGUGCCUUGAGGAUGGGGUGGACCAAAGUUGCUUGGGUACAUGGGUGAGGAAGGGAGCUCCUGGCCUGGUGGCUGGAGUCUAUCAUGGUUAUCUGGAGAAUCUCACAGCCUUCCUCUCACUCACUGCUACUUUAUCCCCAGGUCAGCGAAAUCUCUCCUGAUUUUGGACCCUCUGUGGGUGUGAGGGUGGGAUAAAGACAGGGAAACAGGAGCUGACUGGGAGAGAGGGGAGUCGGGGAGGGGCUGAGGAGUG